rnacentral:rRNA from 1 species
UACGGGGGGGGCAAGCGUUGUUCGGAAUUACUGGGCGUAAAGGGUUCGUAGGUGGCCUACUAAGUCAGACGUGAAAUCCCUCAGCUUAACUGGGGAACUGCGUCUGAUACUGGGGGGCUUGAGGACAGGAGAGGAACGCGGAAUUCCAGGUGUAGCGGUGAAAUGCGUAGAUAUCUGGAGGAACACCGGUGGCGAAGGCGGCGUUCUGGACUGUUUCUGACACUGAGGAACGAAAGCCAGGGGAGCAAACGGG